rnacentral:rRNA from 1 species
GCGUGAGUGAUGAAGGCCUUCGGGUUGUAAAACUCUUUCGACGGGGACGAUAAUGACGGUACCCGUAGAAGAAGCUCCGGCUAACUUCGUGCCAGCAGCCGCGGUAAUACGAAGGGGGCUAGCGUUGUUCGGAUUUACUGGGCGUAAAGCGCACGUAGGCGGGUCGUUAAGUCAGGGGUGAAAUCCCGGAGCUCAACUCCGGAACUGCCUUUGAUACUGGCGACCUUGAGGCUGGAAGAGGUUAGUGGAAUUCCCAGUGUAGAGGUGAAAUUCGU